UUUCCCAGCUCCUCAGUCGCGUGUGGCUAUUUUCCCCUACGCCUAUCGAAGCACAGAUGUCUUUGUCGACCUCUGCUUCUCCAUCUCCUCUGCUACUCACUUUGCAACCACACAGGGCUCUUCCCUUCCACUGCUCUUCCUUCUCCCUUCGCCUUCCCAACCAUCUCACAUGGCCUCACUGCCGCUAGAGCCCCAUCAUCCGACGGAGCACGACGCCUUCCUUGUUGCCGCCGCUCCUUCCCAGAGUUCUCAGGUGGGUGAGGGUAAGAUCUCUCUAUGGUUGGUUUUGCGGCGGAAGCCAGUCCUAGCCAUGGUCAUUGUUGCCAAGAUAUUUUUUGCAGAUGUUCAUCAAUGCUUUUGAUAAAGCUGCCGACUUGGAUGUUCUAGACCACCCAAUUCCGAACUUCAUCUACUACAUGGUGUCCUGAAGAGUACUAGGAAGAAUGGCGAAAAGUUGAAAAAAUGGAGAAACUUUAGCAGGUUAAGGAACACUGGGAGCUGCAGUGUCGCCUCUUCACCGGCAUCUAAGAAAAAAAAUCUCAUGUGUUGUAAAUAUUAUUUUCGAAUGUUAGAAAAUUGUAUAUUAAAUUUUAUAUGUCAAAAAGUUCUAAAAUAUAAA